UACGUAGGUGGCAAGCGUUGUCCGGGUUUAUUGGGCGUAAAGCGAGUGCAGGCGGUUCAAUAAGUCUGAUGUGAAAGCCUUCGGCUCAACCGGAGAAUUGCAUCAGAAACUGUUGAACUUGAGUGCAGAAGAGGAGAGUGGAACUCCAUGUGUAGCGGUGGAAUGCGUAGAUAUAUGGAAGAACGCCAGUGGCGAAGGCGGCUCUCUGGUCUGCAACUGACGCUGAGGCUCGAAAGCAUGGGUAGCGAACAGG
rnacentral:rRNA from 1 species